CGUAGGUGGUUUGUCGCGUUGUUCGUGAAAUCUCACGGCUUAACUGUGAGCGUGCGGGCGAUACGGGCAGACUUGAGUACUGCAGGGGAGACUGGAAUUCCUGGUGUAGCGGUGGAAUGCGCAGAUAUCAGGAGGAACACCGGUGGCGAAGGCGGGUCUCUGGGCAGUAACUGACGCUGAGGAGCGAAAGCGUGGGGAGCGAACAGGAUUAGAUACCCUGGUAGUCCACGCCGUAAACGGUGGGUACUAGGUGUGGGUUUCCUUCCUUGGGAUCCGUGCCGUAGCUAACGCAUUAAGUACCCCGCCUGGGGAGUACGGCCGCAAGGCUAAAACUCAAAGAAAUUGACGGGGGCCCGCACAAGCGGCGGAGCAUGUGGAUUAAUUCGAUGCAACGCGAAGAACCUUACCUGGGUUUGACAUGCACAGGACGCCGGCAGAGAUGUCGGUUCCCUUGUGGCCUGUGUGCAGGUGGUGCAUGGCUGUCGUCAGCUCGUGUCGUGAGAUGUUGGGUUAAGUCCCGCAACGAGCGCAACCCUUGUCUCAUGUUGCCAGCGGGUAAUGCCGGGGACUCGUGAGAGACUGCCGGGGUCAACUCGGAGGAAGGUGGGGAUGACGUCAAGUCAUCAUGCCCCUUAUGUCCAGGGCUUCACACAUGCUACAAUGGCCGGUACAAAGGGCUGCGAUGCCGCGAGGUUAAGCGAAUCCUUUUAAAGCCGGUCUCAGUUCGGAUCGGGGUCUGCAACUCGACCCCGUGAAGUCGGAGUCGCUAGUAAUC
rnacentral:rRNA from 1 species